ACUCAAAUGAAUAGACGGGGGCCCGCACAAGCGGUGGAGCAUGUGGGUUAAUCGGAUGAUACGCCGAGAACCUUACCAGGGCUUGACAUGGCCUGGCCCGCCUACGAAAGUAGGUUUUCUCAGCAAUGAGACCGGGUCACAGGUGGUGCAUGGUUGUCGUCAGCUCGUGUCGUGAGAUGUUGGGUUAAGUCCCGCAACGAGCGCAACCCUCGUCGGAUGUUGCCAGCGGUUCGGCCGGGCACUCUUCCGAGACUGCCCGAGCAAUUGGGAGGAAGGAGAGGACGACGUCAAAUCGGCAUGCCCCUUACGUCCUGGGCUGCACACGUGCUACAAUGGCAGGUACAAAGGGCUGCGAAGCCGCGAGGUGGAGCCAAUCCCCCAAAACCUGUCUCAGUUCGGAUCGGAUGUCUGCAACUCGACUCCGUGAAGCUGGAAUCGCUAGUAACCGUGGAUCAGCAAUGCCGCGGUGAAUACGUUCCCGGGCCUUGCACACACCGCCCGU
rnacentral:rRNA from 1 species